rnacentral:lncRNA from 1 species
CCCUCUCCCCCGCCGCCGUAGGGCCGCACCCCCUCCGGCGCCGUCGGCCACCGAGACUGCCGCCGGCCACGGCCCGGCCCCCUCCCGCGGCCGCCGUGGCCUGGCCCCCUUCCGGUGCUGCCGGGUGCGCGGGAGGAGAAGAACGGAGAAGGGGGCAGAGGAAGGAAGGAGAAGAAGAGAAGAAAAAAAGAAAAGGAAAAAAAAGAAGAAAAGGAAAUAAAAUAAAAGAAAAGAAAAGAAAAGAAAAGAAUAAAUAAAUAAAUAAAUAAAUGCAUAAAUAAAUAUUUAUAUAAAUGAAUGAAUGAAUGAAUAAAUAAAUAAGAUAAUAAAUAAAUAUAUUUCAAUGGAUAAAAUAAUAAAUAAAUAAAUGCAUAAAUAAAAAUAUAUAUACGAAUGAACGUAUAAAUAAAUAAAUAUAAAGAAAAAUAAUGAGUGAGUGGCAAAUAAUCUGAUCCUUAUGAUAUUGAUAAGUACGGUGAAUUUGUCGCCAUUGCAAAUAGUUAAGUAAAAAGAUAAUCUA